rnacentral:ncRNA from 2 species
ACUUACUCGUUGGGGUGCCCCGCUUGCCGGGGCUGAGAGGCGCAGGCCGACCCAUCGAACCUGAUCCGGGUCAUGCCGGCGGAGGGAACGGGUAGCUUGACGAU